CGGCCCAGACUCCUACGGGAGGCAGCAGUAGGGAAUCUUGCNNACUGGGCGAAAGCCUGAUGGAGCAGUGCCGCGUGAGUGAAGAAGGUCUUCGGAUCGUAAAGCUCUGUUAUCGGAGAUGAACACGGAGUACAGUAACUGGUAUUCCGCUGACGGUAUCCGACCAGAAAGUCACGGCUAACUACGUGCCAGCAGCCGCGGUAAUACGUAGGUGACAAGCGUUGUCCGGAUUUAUUGGGCGUAAAGCGAGCGCAGGCGGUCUUUUAAGUCUGAUGUGAAAGCCCACGGCUCAACCGUGGAUGGUCAUUGGAAACUGGAAGACUUGAAUGCAGAAGAGGAAAGUGGAAUUCCAUGCGUAGCGGUGAAAUGCGUAGAUAUAUGGAGGAACACCAGUGGCGAAGGCGACUUUCUGGUCUGUAAUUGACGCUGAGGCUCGAAAGCGUGGGGAGCGAACAGGAUUAGAUACCCUGGUAGUCCACGCCGUAAACGAUGAGUGCUAAGUGUUGGAGGGUUUCCGCCCUUCAGUGCUGGAGCUAACGCAUUAAGCACUCCGCCUGGGGAGUACGGCCGCAAGGCUGAAACUCAAAGGAAUUGACGGGGACCCGCACAAGCGGUGGAGCGUGUGGUUUAAUUCGAAGCAACGCGAAGAACCUUACCAGAUCUUGACAUCCUCUGACCACCCAAGAAAUUGGGCUUUCCCUUCGGGGACAGAGUGACAGGUGGUGCAUGGUUGUCGUCAGCUCGUGUCGUGAGAUGUUGGGUUAAGUCCCGUAACGAGCGCAACCCUUAUUGUUAGUUGCCAGCAUUUAGUUGGGCACUCUAGCGAGACUGCCGGUGAUAAACCGGAGGAAGGCGGGGAUGACGUCAAAUCAUCAUGCCCCUUAUGAUCUGGGCUACGCACGUGCUACAAUGGAUGGUACAACGAGUUGCGAGACCGCGAGGUUUAGCUAAUCUCCUAAAGCCAUUCUCAGUUCGGGNGCNAGGCUGCAACUCGCCUUGCAUGAAGCUGGAAUCGCUA
rnacentral:rRNA from 1 species